ACAAAAUAUACAGCUGGAUGUUUGUCACAAUUCUAAUGUCCCUGCAAAGAUGAGAUGCAUGAAUCACACAGCAAUCUCAUCAAAAAGCCCUAGCACUACCUCUCAGUAUCUUCAUAUCCUUCAAUGAUGAAACUGUGGCCCAGAAAGUUUAAGGGAUGUGUCAAAUGUCACACAGCUCACAGAUCCAGGGACAUGGCUUAAAUCCAGAUAUCUUGAUUCUAACUUCAGUUGAGGAAGAGAAAGAGUGCUGCCCCACGCUGCCUGAUUUACAACGUGAAGUGAAAUCUUUGAAAAGAAAAAUAAGACAAUGUCACUCAAGCUCUUAUCUGAGGAUUUCCUGGGUUUGAAGACAGAGCUCAAACUCAUACAAGGGGUCAUCUGAGUCUGCAGAUAGGCUUGCUUUAUGCUGCUCCGUCAGAUCUCUUCUAAAGAUUAGUGCGCAAUUCUGGACAUUACAUUUUAAUGGUAACAUGGAUUCAACUAAAGGGUAAGCAAAGGACACCGACAGGAAUAGGGAGGGUGCCAUUUAUAGAGAAAAGACUGAGAGGUCCAUAUUGUUAUUUUACCUGAAAGAUAUAAUAAACAGAGGAUGCUG
rnacentral:lncRNA from 10 species